rnacentral:sRNA from 2 species
GCCAACUCAAGCUUUCUUUUGAUAUGAAAAGAAUAACAACUCUCCGAACUGGGCAGUAAGUCUGGUCAUUGACUUUGAAAGGCCCAUGUAUAGAUGUCAAAUGCAACGGGAGUGAACUCUCAAAAAACCUAUAAGAGCAUGCGGACUCACUCAGGGAGGGUGGACAAACAGUGGCAAGGCAUUGGACAUUACAGUGAGCCACACACACCCUUGGUUGUCAUUGUAGUGAUUGUACUGUACAAAAAUAAGUAAAUAACAACAAUAGAUAAUCAUAGCAUACAAAAUGAGACUUAAUUCAUCUCGCCAAAAUUUCCUUCGGAGGAAGGCGCAAGGUUCCGUUGUUGCGUAGCUUUUCUUGAAAAAAUGUUUUUUUUUUUUUUUUUCAGAGACCUGAUUCCGAAAAUGGCACUUCCGCUCAGAUCAUUCAAUAUAGCAUAUCCGGCUUCAUCACAAGCAGAGCUCCGAAUUUCGGGAGAAAUAGUUGGCACUCAAUUGGGGGC